rfam:Schistosoma haematobium scaffold1536_1, whole genome shotgun sequence.
AUCCAGCUGACGAGUCCAAAGUAGGACGAAACGUACAUCCUGGAU